rnacentral:sRNA from 1 species
AUAUAAUUGUAUUUCUGUAUUAGGUUAUUGUGGCUAGGAUGUUUCUUUAUAACUUUCUCCAUUAUGCGCCGAUUGGAAUUACAAUAUUUUGUGUGCCGUUCAGGCGCAAGGAGGAUUUUAACUUAUGGAACAAGGUACAGUUAAAUGGUUUAACGCUGAUAAAGGAUUUGGCUUCAUCACACGUGAAGAUGGUAGUGACGUGUUUGUACACUUCUCCGCUAUCCAAGGUGAAGGCUUCAAGACUUUAGAAGAAGGCCAAAGCGUAACUUUCGACGUUGAAGAAAGCGAACGUGGACCACAAGCUGCAAACGUUGUUAAAGCUUAAUUUUAAGUGAUUUAACGUUAUAUAUAUUAAAGAAAGAGGCUGCGUUUGCGGUCUCUUUUUUG